CGGAACGAGUUGUCUGAACCUUCGGGGAACGAUAACGGCGUCGAGCGGCGGACGGGUGAGUAAUGCCUGGGAAAUUGCCCUGAUGUGGGGGAUAACCAUUGGAAACGAUGGCUAAUACCGCAUAAUAGCUUCGGCUCAAAGAGGGGGACCUUCGGGCCUCUCGCGUCAGGAUAUGCCCAGGUGGGAUUAGCUAGUUGGUGAGGUAAUGGCUCACCAAGGCGACGAUCCCUAGCUGGUCUGAGAGGAUGAUCAGCCACACUGGAACUGAGACACGGUCCAGACUCCUACGGGAGGCAGCAGUGGGGAAUAUUGCACAAUGGGCGCAAGCCUGAUGCAGCCAUGCCGCGUGUAUGAAGAAGGCCUUCGGGUUGUAAAGUACUUUCAGCAGUGAGGAAGGUGGUAGUGUUAAUAGCACUACCAUUUGACGUUAGCUGCAGAAGAAGCACCGGCUAACUCCGUGCCAGCAGCCGCGGUAAUACGGAGGGUGCGAGCGUUAAUCGGAAUUACUGGGCGUAAAGCGCAUGCAGGUGGUUUGUUAAGUCAGAUGUGAAAGCCCGGGGCUCAACCUCGGAAUAGCAUUUGAAACUGGCAGACUAGAGUACUGUAGAGGGGGGUAGAAUUUCAGGUGUAGCGGUGAAAUGCGUAGAGAUCUGAAGGAAUACCGGUGGC
rnacentral:rRNA from 1 species